GUGAAUUCCAUUUUCACGGUUUUGUCAUCAUGAACUUUUCAGUGUGCUUCUUAGAAUAGAGCAUACAGUUUAUUUAUGGAAUCGUGCUGUCCUGCACGGAGAUUCUUCUGCCAAUGCUGACCUUUAUGCUUUAUCCAUGACGAAAGAGGGACUUCCACCAACAUCCUUAUCUUCGCGACGCACGCUCAUCUAGCUUCACUGCUUCUAAACACAAUUGUUUUUACUUCACUGACGACUUGGCGAGUUUCUGGACCACUUCAUGAUCGCUUCCGUCCGUUGUGCAGUCACUCACCACGGGAUUAUGUCCAGGUAAUGCAGAGGAGACGUCGAGAAGAUGGAUUUUGUCAUCUUUAACGGUCGUCAUCGGUCUCCGUCGGAUGUUGCCCCUUCUCCUGGUGCGAACGAAACUCGGUCGAAUCGCGACCGACACCGAGACUCGUCAUCAACGUGGAUCAUCGUAUUGUUGGUAUUAUUUCGUUUGUGUUAGUGUUAGUUAACCCGUUGUCUGCCACGCCUUUGUUCUCCCCUGCACGGGCCGCGCUGUUCGCUCU